GAUGAAGAACGUAGCGAAAUGCGAUACGUAAUGUGAAUUGCAGAAUUCAGUGAAUCAUCGAGUCUUUGAACGCACAUUGCGCCCCCUGGUAUUCCGGGGGGCAUGCCUGUCCGAGCGUCAUUGCUGCCCUCAAGCACGGCUUGUGUGUUGGGCCUCCGUCCUCCUCCCGGGGGACGGGCCCGAAAGGCAGCGGCGGCACCGCGUCCGGUCCUCGAGCGUAUGGGGCUUUGUCACCCGCUCUUGUAGGCCCGGCCGGCGCUUGCCGACACAUCAAUCUUUUUUCCAGGUUGACCUCGGAUCAGGUAGGGAUACCCGCUGAACUUAAGCAUAUCAAUAAGCGGAGGA
rnacentral:misc_RNA from 1 species